AUCGCUUCUCGGCCUUUUGGCUAAGAUCAAAGUGUAGUAUCUGUUCUUAUCAGCUUAAUAUCUGAUACGCCCCGCAUGCGGGGCCAGUAUAUUAAACUGAUUUUUGGAAAUUGACGGAGGUUAGGGGCUUGCUCCACCUCUGUCACGGGUUGGCCUGGUAUUGCAGUACCGCCAGGAUCGGCCCACUUUUU
rnacentral:snRNA from 1 species